AGCAGCCGCGGUAAUUCCAGCUCCAAUAGCGUAUAUUAAAGUUGUUGCAGUUAAAAAGCUCGUAGUUGAAUUUCGGGGGUCAGUAGGUUGGUCAUGCCUCCGGUAUGUACUGGUCUCACUGAUUCCUCCUUCCUGAUGAGCCGUAAUGCCAUUAAUUUGGUGUUGCGGGGAAUCUGGACUGUUACUUUGAAAAAAUUGAGUGUUUAAAGCAAGCUAACGCUUGAAUACAUUAGCAUGGAAUAAUGGAAUAGGACGUUCGAUCCUAUUUUGUUGGUUUCUAGGAUUGACGUUAAUGAUUAAUAGGGAUAGUUGGGGCAUUAGUAUUCAAUUGUCAGAGGUGAAAAUUCUUGGAUUUUAUUGAAAGUACUAACUACUGCGAAGCAUUUGCCAAGGAUGUUUUCAUUAAUCAAGAACGAAGUUAGGGAUCGAAGACGAUCAGAUACCGUCGUAGUCUUAACC
rnacentral:rRNA from 1 species